rnacentral:rRNA from 1 species
GACGAACGCUGGCGGCGUGCUUAACACAUGCAAGUCGAACGGACAGGCCCUGCUUUUGUUGGGUGCUCGAGUGGCGAACGGGUGAGUAACACGUGAGUAACCUGCCCUUGACUUUGGGGUAACUUCAGGAAACUGGGGCUAAUAACGGCUAGGAGCUCCUGCUGCUUGGUGUUGGUUGGAAAGUUUCGGCGGUUGGGGAUGGACUCGCGGCUUAUCAGCUUUUUGGUGGGGUAGUUGCUUACCAAGGUUUUGACGGGUAGCCGGCCUGAGAGGGUGACCGGCCACAGUGGGCCUGAGAUACGACCCAGACUGCAACGGGAGGCAGCAGUGGGAAACAGUGCGCAAUGGGCGGAAGCCUGAUGCAGGGUCGCCGGGUGCGGGAUGACGGCCUUCGGGUUAGAAACCGCUUGCGCCUGGGACGAAGCGUGAGUGACGGUAAUUGAUAAAGAAGCACCGGCUAACUACGUG